rnacentral:lncRNA from 1 species
AUUGAACUCAUGGUUGUAAAUUGGAAAAAGAUUUAGGGACUAUAAAUUGUAUUGGGGUUAAUAUAAAAAAAAAAGCACGUGUGAUAAUGGUAAUAAGGGGCGCAUUUUGAUUAGAAUGAAUAGUGAUGGUUGUAAUUCACCUGGAGUGUAUAAAGUAAGCUUUGAGGUAAUAGUAAACCCAUACUUAUGUGCAUGAAGAUAAAAACACUAUGUUAAUUGAGCUUGUUAUGC